CGAGAGAGAGAGAGAGAGAGAGAGAGAGAGAGAGAGAGAGAUUGGAGAACACACAGAUCCGUCUUCUGUAGAUCACCUACAAAGUGUCAGAAAUAGAGCUGAGUUUAAGACAGGUGCGUACAACUCGUCUUGCAUGAGACCCUGGGUGGUGCACUAAAACACAAUCUGAGAGAGGAUACAGGUUGACUGACUAAUGUCAAGAAGGAAAACGAGAAAAACUGAAAGAAGAACAAGAGACCAAGAUGUAUGCUGAAAUUACCCAUCUCUGCACGGUAUGCCCCUAAACCAAUCCUAAAACCUACUCUACUGUGCAAGGAUGUAAGAUCAAUGAAGUGAGACUGGAGAGAAUUACAUCCAUCUGAAGGAGAUAGAAAAGGGAUUUUGAUAUACUUGUGUGACUACUUCACAAGACAGGAUAUGAAGAAACUGAGCAUGCUUCAUCUUUGAAACAAUUUCCCCUUUGAAACAAUUGA
ensembl:lncRNA